UCUGUAACCUUCUCCAAGCUAAAUAAUAUUUUCUAGCAACUCCAUGUAUUGAGUAUUAGCAAGCCUUUCUAGACACCUUGUAUUACAAUGCCUCAACAUGCAACUAAAAAUACAGUCUCUAGAUUCCUCAAGAAUUAUGGCUCCACAUGCCUCUUUUGAGUGGAGUUUGUACAAUACCUCUCCAUGUUCCAUAAGUAUUACCCCCUUCAUCCAUGAUCUUUGAUCAUUUAAGCAUUUUAUUUUUAUUCCAAAAAUUUGGUUCUUUUAGAAAAUCAAUAUGUAAUUAAUGAUGUUUUACCUUUUGUACCCUUUAAAAAAUCAAAAGCAUGUAUUAAAUAAAAUUUGUUUUUACUUAAUGAAUGAAAGGUAAAAAAGACUAAACCAAUAAAAAUUUAUUAUUUCUUAAUAUGUGUGUCCAAUGCUAAAAGGAUAAGUUUGGGGACGGAGGGAGUAUUUACUCUACUUCUCCCGGCGUUCCAUUAGAAACCGUCUAGUUUUCUCAAUAAUACUGCAACUGCUCGUUGAGAAUCAAAUGUUUAUCUAUCUCUUCAUACUUUCCUUUAAACAAAUGAGGCUAUCACUGUUGAGCCAAAUUACAAGUUUGUGUCUAACUUGACACAAAGUUUGUCUUAGGAUUCUAACUAUCGUUGAGAACAUAUUACAAUUUAAAUCUCAUAUCAAUUAAAGUAUCACUGUUCAUUUUGAACUAUUUGUGACCGAACUAGAUUGAUUUAAGAGAUUUUUAAUGACUUUUCUAAGACAAGAUAUUAUAAUUUAAAUUUCAUGUUUAAGGCUUUUCUAAUAUAUUCUUUCAAAUAUGAACAUGAUAUUUUUUUUUUCUUUCUGUUUUGAUCUUUCAGACUUUUCAUAUGAUAUUCAGUUGAUGAACAUAAUCUUAAAUAUUUUUCGUUUAAUGUAUGCAUCACAAACAUCUAGACAAUAUAAACUAUCUUAGAUAUGAUUUUCUUUGCUACUAUGGAUGCCAUCACCACUAUUGGAUUGUAUCUUCAUGAUAAUCUUUGUCAACUUUGGAUAUUAGCGUCGAUUACUUCAGUUUGAAGGAAGUUCUUUUUAUUUUUUACAUAAAAAUAUAUCCAUUGAGAAAAAGAGUCGUUUGAGAUGUGUAGAAUGUUGCAUUUGUACAUGUAGUUGUUUGACUUUACAUCUUUUUAUUGUGUAGGUUACCAAGCUACUAUGUACUUUCUAUAAGAUCUUCAGUUUCUAUAUUGUAAUGUCACAUUGUCUUGGCUUAGAGGAAGUGACACUAAUUCAUCAGAGAAAUCUUUGUUUUGUUGAUUUCUUGUUGACUCUUCUUGGAUAGUCUUCAAGUUGUACUAAAGGAAUAUUGUUAUUAAGGAAACGUUGCUUGGUUGACUGUUACAAUAGAGGAAUCUUUAGUUUUCUUGAGUUUGCUAACCCAUUGAGUUGGAGGAAUGUUUGAUAUUCGUUGUUGACUUUUCUUUAGAUGUUUGACCAAUGUUGAUUUCUCUUUUGGACACUCAUCAAUUAUUAUUCUUCUUUUCAUAUCUUCAAAUGUUUGGUGAUGAGAGGCUUUGACCAAAGCCAUUUGUUCUAUCAUCUAAUAUGUGAUUCAUAUUCAUAUUCAGAUAAUGACUUCACAUAUUAAUGUGAACG
rnacentral:lncRNA from 1 species